rfam:Phlebotomus papatasi Contig3957.3, whole genome shotgun sequence.
GCGAGAAAAAUGGGUUUUGGAGACUACCCAGCCGAGUAUAAUCCCAAAGUCCAUGGUCCUUAUGAUCCAGCACGGUUCUAUGGCAAGCGUAAGUUGAAAAAUCCCA